GACUGAAUCGCGUUUUAGAUUUCAGGUCUUCAGACAGAAAUGUGAAGCAUAUAAAGACUUUCCAUGCAUGUAAAACAAAACGUCGUCUCUGUCUGUGUGUCAGAGGGAGAAGACGAGGAUCUUGUUCCUUUACAACCUGCACAUUCACGGCCGGAUUUCCAGCAGCGGCAGGAAACGCAUCAUCAGCCGUGGACAGAGGACGGUGUUCCAGCGCCUGCUCAGGUGGGGGCACCGCCUUUGCUGGCAUCAUCACGGAGAGGAAGCGUCCAGCUCCGAGAAGACGCACUACGCCAGCGGUUAGAGGAGAGAGAGGAAGCUCCACCUGGAUGAAGAAGUCGUCCAGUUUUUUGUGGCAGACUCGAGCUUCAGGCAAUAAAAACACAUUCAGUUCAAACUGGACUGAAGCUUGUU